rnacentral:tRNA from 1 species
GCUUUGCUGGCUCAGUCAGUAGAGCAUGUGACUCUUGAUCUCGAGGUUGUGAGUUUGAGUCCCAUGUUGGGUG